rnacentral:rRNA from 1 species
ACACUCCUGCGGGAGGCAGCAGUGGGGAAUUUUGGACAAUGGGCGAAAGCCUGAUCCAGCAAUGCCGCGUGUGUGAAGAAGGCCUUCGGGUUGUAAAGCACUUUUGUCCGGAAAGAAAUCCUUGGCUCUAAUACAGUCGGGGGAUGACGGUACCGGCAGAAUAAGCACCGGCUAACUACGUGCCAGCAGCCGCGGUAAUACGUAGGGUGCGAGCGUUAAUCGGAAUUACUGGGCGUAAAGCGUGCGCAGGCGGUUUGCUAAGACCGAUGUGAAAUCCCCGGGCUCAACCUGGGAACUGCAUUGGUGACUGGCAGGCUAGAGUAUGGCAGAGGGGGGUAGAAUUCCACGUGUAGCAGUGGAAUGCGUAGAGAUGUGGAGGAAUACCGAUGGCGAAGGCAGCCCCCUGGGCCAAUACUGACGCUCAUGCACGAAAGCGUGGGGAGCAAACAGGAUUAGAUACCCUGGUAGUCCCAUGAU